rnacentral:rRNA from 1 species
CACGUCGAUAAUCUGCCCUUUGGCCCGGGAUAACCUUGGGAAACUGAGGACAAAACCGGAUAGAGAAAGGAGGCUGGAACGCGCCUUUCUCGAAACGUAAGGCCUAAGGAUGAGUCGGCGGCUGAUCAGGUCGUUGGCGGUGUAAAGGACCACCAAGCCGAAGAUCAGUAGGGGCCUUGAGAGAGGGAGCCCCGAGAAGGGCACUGAGACACUGGCCCUAGCCCCACGGGGUGCAGCAGGCGCGAAAACUCCACAAUGCACGAAAGUGUGAUGGGGGAAUCCCGAGUGCUCAUGUUUUACAUGGGCUUUUGCCAAAUGUAAAUAGUUUGGCGAAUAAGUGGUGGGCAAGACCGGUGCCAGCCGCCGCGGUAACACCGGCGCCACAAGUGGGAAUCACAUUUAUUUGGCCUAAAGCGUUCGUAGCCGGCUGGGUAAAUCUCUUGUGAAAUCGUUUUGAUAAAACAAACGACGUGCAGGAGACACUGCUCAGCUAGGGACUGGGAGGAGUUGGGAGUACGCCUAGGGGAGCAGUAAAAUGCUAUAAUCCAUGGUAGACUACCGGUGGCGAAGGCGCCCAACCAGAACAGAUCCGACGGUGAGGGACGAAAGCUAGGGGAGCAAUCCGGAUUAGAUACCCGAGUAGUCCUAGCCGUAAACGCUGUGAGCAAGGUGUUGCACAAUCCUCGAGAUUGUGCAGUGUCGAAACGAAGGUAUUAAGCUCACCGCCUGGGAAGUACGGUCGCAAGACUGAAACUUAAAGGAAUUGGCGGGGGAGCACUACAAGGGGUGCGGCGUGCGGUUUAAUUUAAUUCAACGCAGAGAAUCUCACCAGGAGCGACGGCAGAAUGAAGGAUUAUCUGACUGGUAUUCCUAACGAGCCGAGAGGUGGUGCAUGGCCGGCGUCAGCUCGUGUCGUAAGAUGUCCUGUUAAGUCAGGCAACGAGCGAGACCUAUACUUACAAUUGCCCCCAGGCCCGAGAGGGUGACUGAGCACAUUGUAGGAACUGCCUUGGAAACGAGGAGGAAGGUGUAGGCUACGCUAGGUCUGUAUGCCCCGAAUCCCUUGGGCUACACGCGCGCAACAAUGGUAGGGACAAUGGGAUGCAACACCGAAAGGUGGAGCCAAACCUCUAAACCCUAUCCUAGUCCAGAUUGAGGGCUGCAACUCGCCCUCAUGACGUUGGAAUCCCUAGUAAUCAGAGGUCAACAUCCUCUGGUGAAUACGUCCCUGCUCCUUGCACACACCGCCCGUCAAACCACUCGAGCAGGGAUAAGAUGAGUCUUGGCGAUAUUGGCCAUUGCGAAUCUUAUCUCAGUGAGAAGGGUUAAGUCGUCACAAGGUA